UACGGAGGGUGCAAGCGUUAUCCGGAAUCACUGGGCGUAAAGGGCGCGUAGGUGGUCUGUUAAGUCUGGCGUUAAAGCCUGGGGCUCAACCCCAGAUCAGCGUUGGAUACUGGCAGGCUAGACGGUUGGAGAGGCGAGUGGAAUUACCAGUGUAGCGGUGGAAUGCGUAGAUACUGGUAGGAACACCCAUUGCGAAGGCAGCUCGCUGGACAACACGUGACACUGAGGCGCGAAAGUGUGGGGAGCAAACCGG
rnacentral:rRNA from 2 species